UCAUUUCACCUUUUUCUUUCUUCAAAGUUACCUUAAAACGGCUCCAGGUCCAAAAGUAAUGGUCUUAUGGCUCAACUGGACUGUUCUAAGAAUAAGGAAAGCCACAACAGACCGAGUCCAGUUCAAGAACCAGAGGAUUAGUGAGGGGAAGAAAGCUAUCCAAACCAACCUGUGUGAAAAGUAAUCACCAGGUUGUUCAGUGAAGACUUACAAUCAGUCUUUUACAUCACAGUGGAAGAACUUUGGCCCACUUCUAUGGUGGACUUGCUGGUGUGCUUUGGAUCAUUUUCACAGAUCACAGACUUUCUCCUUCAGAUUUUCUGAUAGAGAGCAGAAUUCAUGGCUGCAUCGAUUAUGGCCAGUCACCCAGGUCCUGAACAACCUGAUCACAUUACCACCACCACCAUGCCUGACACUAGGUCCACUUUUGUCUCAUCUGUCCACAGAAUUUUCCCCGAAGUCUUGGAGCUCAUCAAGAUGAAAAUAACAUUUCGGCCCAUGGACGCACUCAACCUGCUGGUGCCAGGAAACACACACCCAACAGAAACGUCUGGGGAUCAUUCAGACCCAAACUGCCUGUAAUCUGGUUCUGUUUCAGGCUCUAGCUCAGACCAAAGGGUCCAUCUAACCAAAGAAGCAGUCACAUCCAGGUACUUGAGGACCAAGCGGGUACCAGAAGCACCUGAACAGCUGUGGUGUUGGUAAGGUUGGGGGGUCACAUGUUUACAACAUAACUUGAAGCUGAUCUAGGAAGCUGUGAUUAGUCACCUGGUGAUGUUGCUCCUAACGAACCGGAGGAGAUCCAACUCUGAACCCUGGACUGAUUUCCAGGCAGAUCAGUUCAUUACACACAGGGUGAUACAUUUCAAGCACUUAUUUAGUUUCAUUUUGAUUAUAAUUUGACUAUGUCUGACGGCUAAUGUAAACCCAAAAUUAGGAUUCCACAUCAGACCAAUCAAGAACAGUUUUAAUACAGAAAUGUUCUGUUGUGGCCCACAGAACCAGGGGAGACUGAUGACUGGACAGAUGCCGUCCACAAGGAGCAGAAGUCACAAAAGGCAAUUUCUAAAGCAUCUGCUAUGAAUGCUGUAAUCAAGGCUAUAAACAGAAAGUUGAGUGGAAGGAAAACGUGUACACAAGCAGCAGGGAUAAAAAUAAAAACAGAAAUAAAUAUUAGAAAUAUA